ensembl:Mt_tRNA
GUUUAUGUAGCUUAAACCUACCCAAAGCAAGACACUGAAAAUGCCUAGAUGGGUUCGCACGCCCCAUAAACA